UACCAGCACCCCGAGUGGUCGGGACGUUUUAUUGGGCCUAAAGCAUCCGUAGCCGGUUCUACAAGUCUUCCGUUAAAUCCACCUGCUUAACAGAUGGCUGCGGAAGAUACUAUAGAGCUAGGAGGCGGGAGAGGCAAGCGGUACUCGAUGGGUAGGGUAAAUCCGUUGAUCCAUUGAAGACCACCAGUGGCGAAGGCGGCUUGCCAGAACGCGCUCGGACGGUGAGGGAUGAAAGC
rnacentral:rRNA from 1 species